CUCCGCCGGCGACCGGCGCACGGGUGAGUAGCACGUAUGCAACCUGCCCCUGUCAGGGGGACAACCCGCCGAAAGGCGGGCUAAACCCGCGUACAUGCCACCGGGGCAUCCCGGAGGCAGGAAAGGCUUCGGCCGGACAGGGAUGGGCAUGCGGCGCAUUAGGCAGUAGGCGGGGUAACGGCCCACCUAACCGACGAUGCGUAGGGGUUCUGAGAGGAAGGUCCCCCACACUGGUACUGAGACACGGACCAGACUCCUACGGAAGGCAGCAG
rnacentral:rRNA from 1 species